rnacentral:rRNA from 1 species
AACGAACGCUGGCGGCAGGCCUAACACAUGCAAGUCGAGCGAGGACUUCGGUCCUAGCGGCGGACGGGGGAGUAACGCGUGGGAACGUGCCCUUUUCGUCGGAAUAGCCCUGGGAAACGGGGAGUAAUACCGGAUGAGCCCUUUGGGGGGAAGAUUUAUCGGCCAAGGAUCGGCCCGCGUGGGAUUAGGUAGUGGGUGGGGUAAUGGCCUCCCAAGCCGAGGAUUCAUAGCUGGGUUGAGAGGAUGGUCAGCCACACCGGGACGGGGACGCGGCCCAGAAUCCUACGCGAAGGAGCAGUGGGGAAUCUUAGACAAUGGGGGAAACGCUGAUCUAGCCAUGCCGCGUGAGCGAUGAAGGCAUUAGGGUUGUAAAGCGCUUUCAGCUGGGAAGAUAAUGACGGUACCAGCAGAAGAAGCCCCGGCUAACUACGUG